rnacentral:rRNA from 3 species
UUAAUUUGAGAGUUUGAUCCUGGCUCAGGACGAACGCUGGCGGCGUGCCUAAUACAUGCAAGUCGAACGAACUCUGGUAUUGAUUGGUGCUUGCAUCAUGAUUUACAUUUGAGUGAGUGGCGAACUGGUGAGUAACACGUGGGAAACCUGCCCAGAAGCGGGGGAUAACACCUGGAAACAGAUGCUAAUACCGCAUAACAACUUGGACCGCAUGGUCCGAGCUUGAAAGAUGGCUUCAGCUAUCACUUUUGGAUGGUCCCGCGGCGUAUUAGCUAGAUGGUGGGGUAACGGCUCACCAUGGCAAUGAUACGUAGCCGACCUGAGAGGGUAAUCAGCCACAUUGGGACUGAGACACGGCCCAAACUCCUACGGGAGGCAGCAGUAGGGAAUCUUCCACAAUGGACGAAAGUCUGAUGGAGCAACGCCGCGUGAGUGAAGAAGGGUUUCGGCUCGUAAAACUCUGUUGUUAAAGAAGAACAUAUCUGAGAGUAACUGUUCAGGUAUUGACGGUAUUUAACCAGAAAGCCACGGCUAACUACGUGCCAGCAGCCGCGGUAAUACGUAGGUGGCAAGCGUUGUCCGGAUUUAUUGGGCGUAAAGCGAGCGCAGGCGGUUUUUUAAGUCUGAUGUGAAAGCCUUCGGCUCAACCGAAGAAGUGCAUCGGAAACUGGGAAACUUGAGUGCAGAAGAGGACAGUGGAACUCCAUGUGUAGCGGUGAAAUGCGUAGAUAUAUGGAAGAACACCAGUGGCGAAGGCGGCUGUCUGGUCUGUAACUGACGCUGAGGCUCGAAAGUAUGGGUAGCAAACAGGAUUAGAUACCCUGGUAGUCCAUACCGUAAACGAUGAAUGCUAAGUGUUGGAGGGUUUCCGCCCUUCAGUGCUGCAGCUAACGCAUUAAGCAUUCCGCCUGGGGAGUACGGCCGCAAGGCUGAAACUCAAAGGAAUUGACGGGGGCCCGCACAAGCGGUGGAGCAUGUGGUUUAAUUCGAAGCUACGCGAAGAACCUUACCAGGUCUUGACAUACUAUGCAAAUCUAAGAGAUUAGACGUUCCCUUCGGGGACAUGGAUACAGGUGGUGCAUGGUUGUCGUCAGCUCGUGUCGUGAGAUGUUGGGUUAAGUCCCGCAACGAGCGCAACCCUUAUUAUCAGUUGCCAGCAUUAAGUUGGGCACUCUGGUGAGACUGCCGGUGACAAACCGGAGGAAGGUGGGGAUGACGUCAAAUCAUCAUGCCCCUUAUGACCUGGGCUACACACGUGCUACAAUGGAUGGUACAACGAGUUGCGAACUCGCGAGAGUAAGCUAAUCUCUUAAAGCCAUUCUCAGUUCGGAUUGUAGGCUGCAACUCGCCUACAUGAAGUCGGAAUCGCUAGUAAUCGCGGAUCAGCAUGCCGCGGUGAAUACGUUCCCGGGCCUUGUACACACCGCCCGUCACACCAUGAGAGUUUGUAACACCCAAAGUCGGUGGGGUAACCUUUUAGGAACCAGCUGCCUAAGGUGGGACAGAUGAUUAGGGUGAAGUCGUAACAAGGUAGCCGUAGGAGAACCUGCGGCUGGAUCACCUCCUUUCUAAGGAA